AGUGAACGCUGGCGGUAGGCCUAACACAUGCAAGUCGAACGGCAGCACAGUAAGAGCUUGCUCUUACGGGUGGCGAGUGGCGGACGGGUGAGGAAUACAUCGGAAUCUACUUUUUCGUGGGGGAUAACGUAGGGAAACUUACGCUAAUACCGCAUACGACCUACGGGUGAAAGCAGGGGAUCUUCGGACCUUGCGCGAUUGAAUGAGCCGAUGUCGGAUUAGCUAGUUGGCGGGGUAAAGGCCCACCAAGGCGCCGAUCCGUAGCUGGUCUGAGAGGAUGAUAAGCGACACUGGAACUGAGACACGGUCCAGACUCCUACGGGAGGCAGCAGUGGGGAAUAGUGGACAAUGGGCGCAAGCCUGAUCCAGCCAUACCGCGUGGGUGAAGAAGGCCUUCGGGUUGUAAAGCCCUUUUGUUGGGAAAGAAAAGCAGCAGGUUAAUACCCCGCUGUUCUGACGGUACCCAAAGAAUAAGCACCGGCUAACUUCGUG
rnacentral:rRNA from 1 species